CACUAGCGUAUAUUAAAGUUGUUGCAGUUAAAAAGCUCGUAGUUGGAUUUCUGGUUGAAGCGACCGGUCGGGCGUUGAUUCGUCUGCACUGGAGUCGGUUUUGGCCAUCCUCUAGGAAAGUGCGUCUGGUAUUAAGUUAUCGGGCGUAUGAUCCUGGUCUUUUACUGUGAAAAAAUUAGAGUGUUUAAAGCAGGCCUUCGCCUUGAAUACAUUAGCAUGGAAUAAUAAGAUAGGACUUUGGUCUAUUUUGUUGGUUUGCAGACCGAAGUAAUGAUUAAUAGGGAUAGUUGGGGGUAUUUAUAUUCCGAUGUCAGAGGUGAAAUUCUUAGAUUUUCGGAAGAUAAACUUAUGCGAAAGCAUUUACCAAGGAUGUUUUCAUUAA
rnacentral:rRNA from 1 species